GUCCAGCUGACGAGUCCGAAAUAGGAUGAAACGCGUGUCCUGGAU
rnacentral:hammerhead_ribozyme from 1 species